CCCUUAGAUGUCCUGGGCUGCACGCGCGCUACACUGAUGUGUCCAGUAAGCACCUAACCUCUUCCGAAAGGAACGGGUAACCUUUGCAAAGCACAUCGUGAUGGGGAGAGAUUAUUGCAAUUAUUAGUCUUGAACGAGGAAUUCCUAGUAAGCACAAGUCAUCAGCUUGUGUUGAUUACGUCCCUGCCCUUUGUACACACCGCCCGUCGCUCCUACCGAUUGAAUGUUCCGGUGAGCUCUUCGGACUGCGCGGUCUGCAGUUUCUGCGUUCCGUGCGGAAAGUUGCGCAAACCUUAACAUUUAGAGGAAGGAGAAGUCGUAACA
rnacentral:rRNA from 1 species